rnacentral:tRNA from 1 species
GCCGAUGUAGCUCAAUUGGUAGAGCAACUGAUUUGUAAUUAGUCGGUUGGAGGUUCGAGUCCUCUCAUCGGCU